rnacentral:lncRNA from 1 species
GUUUUAUUUAAUUUCUAAAAUUUUCACCAUUUAGGUCAAUUUAGAAAUAUCUUCUUUUUUAAUUUCUAAAUUUUUUACCAUUUAGGUCAAUUUAAAAAUUUUUCUCUUUUUCUUUUUUUUUAUCUUAUCUUUGGAAAAAAAAUAAUAUGACAAUUAUUUUCUUAAAAUUUCAUUUAAAUUCUUCCACCAUUUAGGACAAAAUUAAAGAAAUUUCUCACCUAGAGAUUUCUUAGGAAUUUAC